UACGGGGGGGGGCAAGCGUUGUUCGGAAUUACUGGGCGUAAAGGGCUCGUAGGCGGCCAACUAAGUCGGAUGUGAAAUCCCCAGGCUUAACCUGGGAACUGCAUCCGAUACUGGAUGGCUUGAAUCCGGGAGAGGGAUGCGGAAUUCCAGGUGUAGCGGUGAAAUGCGUAGAUAUCUGGAGGAACACCGGUGGCGAAGGCGGCAUCCUGGGCCGGCAUUGACGCUGAGGAGCGAAAGCCAGGGGAGCAAACGGG
rnacentral:rRNA from 1 species